rnacentral:rRNA from 1 species
AGAGUUUGAUCAUGGCUCAGAUUGAACGCUGGCGGCAUGCUUAAUACAUGCAAGUCGAACGGUAACAUACUCUUCGGAGUGAUGACGAGUGGCGGACGGGUGAGUAAUACAUAGGAAUCUACCUAGUAGUGGGGGACAACCUGGGGAAACUCAGGCUAAUACCGCAUGUUUCUUACGAGAUAAAGAGGGCCUCUUCUUGAAAGCUCUCGCUAUUAGAUGAACCUAUGUCAGAUUAGCUAGUUGGUAGGGUAAAAGCCUACCAAGGCUACGAUCUGUAGCUGGUUUGAGAGGACGAUCAGCCACACUGGGACUGAGACACGGCCCAGACUCCUACGGGAGGCAGCAGUAGGGAAUAUUGGACAAUGGGCGAAAGCCUGAUCCAGCAAUGCCGCGUGUGUGAAGAAGGCCUGCGGGUUGUAAAGCACUUUUGUUUGGGAGGAAAAGCUUAAAGUUAAUACCUUUAAGUGUUGACGUUACCAAUAGAAUAAGCACCGGCUAACUCUGUGCCAGCAGCCGCGGUAAUACAGAGGGUGCGAGCGUUAAUCGGAAUUACUGGGCGUAAAGCGUGCGUAGGCGGUUAAAUAAGUCGGAUGUGAAAGCCCAAGGCUUAUCCUUGGAAUUGCAUUCGAUACUGUUUAGCUAGAGUACAGUAGAGGGAAGCGGAAUUCCUAGUGUAGCGGUGAAAUGCGUAGAUAUUAGGAAGAAUACC